rnacentral:rRNA from 1 species
GACGAACGCUGGCGGCGUGCUUAACACAUGCAAGUCGAACGGAAAGGCCUUUUCGGAGGUACUCGAGUGGCGAACGGGUGAGUAACACGUGGGUGAUCUGCCCUGCACUCUGGGAUAAGCCUGGGAAACUGGGUCUAAUACCGGAUAGGACCGCACUUUAGUGUGUGUGGUGGAAAGUUUUUUCGGUGUAGGAUGAGCCCGCGGCCUAUCAGCUUGUUGGUGGGGUAAUGGCCUACCAAGGCGGCGACGGGUAGCCGGACUGAGAGGUUGGACGGCCACAUUGGGACUGAGAUACGGCCCAGACUCCUACGGGAGGCAGCAGUGGGGAAUAUUGCACAAUGGGCGCAAGCCUGAUGCAGCGACGCCGCGUGGGGGAUGACGGCCUUCGGGUUGUAAACUCCUUUCGCCAGGGACGAAGCGUUUUGUGACGGUACCUGGAGAAGAAGCACCGGCCAACUACGUG